AUUGAACGCUGGCGGCAGGCCUAACACAUGCAAGUCGAGCGGUAACACUGGGAGCUUGCUCCCGGGUGACGAGCGGCGGACGGGUGAGUAAUGUCUGGGAAACUGCCUGAUGGAGGGGGAUAACUACUGGAAACGGUAGCUAAUACCGCAUAACGUCGCAAGACCAAAGAGGGGGACCUUCGGGCCUCUUGCCAUCAGAUGUGCCCAGGUGGGAUUAGGUAGUAGGUGGGGUAACGGCUCACCUAGGCGACGAUCCCUAGCUGGUCUGGGAGGAUGACCAGCCACACUGGAACUGAGACAGGGUCCAUACUCCUACGGGAGGCAGCAGUGGGGAAUAUUGCACAAUGUGCGCAAGGCUGAUGCGGCCAUGCCGCGUGUAUGAAGAAGGCCUUCGGGUUGUAAAGUACUUGCAGCGGGGAGGAAGGUGCUGAGGUUAAUAACCUCAGCAAUUGACGUUACCCGCAGAAGAAGCGCCGGCUAACUCCGUGCCAGCCGCCGCGGUAAAAC
rnacentral:rRNA from 1 species